GCUAACCGCAUGAAAUUCGAAGAUCAAAACACUAGCAGCCUAAAACCCUAGCCCUGAUAUUCUAAUAAGCCACCACAUCAUAUAUAUCGUGCGACCAUUGCGACUCUUGAAACCACUGGGUUUUGGAGAAUUUACUCUGGAUGCCUUUGUUUAUACAUUGAAAAGCAUGCCAUGUUUUGUUGAAAUAAUCACAGUGCAGAAGAUGUCUCUAAAUGUUUCUUCACUUUGAACUGACGGGCAAUCUUGUUCCCAAUUGCUUCUGAUGCACUUUAAAAUUUUGCAUUAUUAUUGCAAGCCUUCAAAACUGAGCAUUAAAGGAUUGAUCAACCCCAAAAAUUUACGCUCAACAGACCUGCCGUCACACAUUAGUGUAGACUAUCAUAGCGGUUCUCACGGCCUUAAUGAACAUUAUUAUUCAUGAAUUGUUUGUGCAAGACAGCUUCUUGGUUGAAGUGUAUUCACUUUCCCUUCAAGCACUUUAUUAUAACUUGCUAUAUAAAUUCCAGUCACACUCACCUACCUUGAUCACAUGAACUGUUGGCUCUUUAUGAUUGGAUACAAUCCUUAAUUAUAAGGGUUUGGUACCCCCUUAAAAUAAACGGUUUUCAAUCAUUACAUGUUAUCUGCAAGUGUAGCACUCUGUCAGAGUACUAUUGGUGAUUCUUACACUAUUUUCUAUCUUGCAAGAUUAAUUUUACAGCAUCAGACUGCCAAGGGUAAUCUUUGGUAGUUUCUACUUUUUGCAUACACUUUGUAGAUUGCACUUUUUGGAUACACUUCGAUAUAUUUUUUAGUUUACCUAUAUUGAAAGGGAAGCAUCCUUUUAUCUGUGUUCUUUGAUCUUGGCCAUAUUAUUAAGGCUAGUGGAUUUUCUGGAGAUCUUUAUGUUUUUUCUUUCUGAUUUUCAAGCAAUUGAAAAGUUCUAAACUGUAAGCCAAGCCGUUGACUGUAAUCUCAUUGUGAAAUCUGUAGCUUUGAUUAUUCAGGUCAUAGCUGCCCUAUGGCACAGCCGUAAUGUGACAAUUCAAGAAUCAAAUUCUUAGUAGGUUAAGAUAUCUUGUAGAGGGUGGGUAGAGAUGGCAUGUUGAAGUGAUGCAGAGCUGGAUCUAUUCUAAAUCAACAUUUUAAACUUUAAAGUGAAAUUGUUCCAGACGCAUUUAUAUUGAUAGGUACAGGAAAGCAGGUAGUAGAUCUAUUAUAGGAGGUGUGCCCUCCUUGAGGCCAGAUUACGUUGUGGCAAUGAAUACAGAGAGGGAAGCACAGGACACCUGUGGUGACUCUAAUUGAGUUGAUAUUUCUUUGGGAUUGUAUGGAGUAUUACUUAUCCCGUUCUGGCCAACAAUUACUUUUUGGGUCAUGAUUUAAUUUUUUUUGUCUGAAUUCAGUAUUCACGGAUCCUAGUGAUUGGGGUGCAUAAGCUAUGUAUAGUUCAUUAAAUGAGGAAAUGAAACAGUAUCUUAGGACACCUUCUUACAUAGCCUCAGAGCUAUGAAUGAGAGAUACUUGAAUCUGA